GACGAACGCUGGCGGCGUGGAUUAGGCAUGCAAGUCGAACGGUAUCAUCCUUUCGGGGGUGAGAGAGUGGCGAACUGGUGAGUAACACGUAGGUUAUCUACCCUCAAGACGGGGACAACCCAGGGAAACUUGGGCUAAUACCGGAUGUGAGCAACUUUUAGUUGUUUGAAAGGUGGCGUAAGCUGUCGCUUGGGGAUGAGCCUGCGUCCUAUUAGUUAGUUGGUGAGGUAACGGCUCACCUAGGCAAUGAUAGGUAGGCGGCCUUAACGGGUGGUCGCCCACACUGGGAUUGAGAUACGGCCCAGACUCCUACGGGAGGCAGCAGUCGAGAAUAGUCUACGAAUGGUCGGAAGACUGAUAGUGCGACGCCGCGUGAACGAUGAAUCCCUUCGGGGUGUAAAGUUCUUUUAUAUGUGAGCAGUGCUUCUUAUAUUAACAGUAUGGGGAAGAGAUAUUAGCAUAUGAAUAAGCAAGGCUAACUCCGUGCCAGCAGCCGACGGUAAA
rnacentral:rRNA from 1 species